rnacentral:rRNA from 1 species
AUGGCAUCAUCCCUUGUAAACAAAGAGGGAAGACUUCCGAAGAGAGCAGGCAGCGUCUCCAAUGAAAAAUUGAUUUCGGCGAAAAAUCUGAAAACUUGUGUCUUGCUCCGUUGGAUUUACAACGAACGGCAUCCACUCGAAGGUGAAGGUCCCACCAGCAACCCAUCAUCCCUUGUAAAAAAAAAGAAGGAAGACUUCCGAAGAGAGCUGGAUGAAGGUUUGGAUGUUAUUGGUGAAGGGCUGGCAACUCUGGAAAACAUGGCAUCGGAUAUGAACGAGGAAUUGGAUAGGCAUGUUCUUGUUCAGGCAAGUUCCCUUGAUGGAUGA